UUAUGCCUUUACGUAGGCAACCCCGCUUUACUCCACCUUCUGUUGUGCGGCCAUUUUUUCCCCAUAUCAAGCCAACUACAUCUGUAAAUUGUCAUCGUAAUAACCAUAUUGUGGCUAGUAGAAACAUCGUAUCGAGACAAAUGAUCAAAGUGGAAAAUUACACGAAACAUACUGGACAGUGGGGGAGAGUGGGUUGGCAACACUUGACAGUUCCCGACCUCCAACGCCGUUAAA